AUGAACGCUGGCGGCGUGCCUAAUACAUGCCAGUCGAGCGAACAGACGAGGAGCUUGCUCCUCUGACGUUAGCGGCGGACGGGUGAGUAACACGUGGAUAACCUACCUAUAAGACUGGGAUAACUUCGGGAAACCGGAGCUAAUACCGGAUAAUAUAUUGAACCGCAUGGUUCAAUAGUGAAAGACGGUUUUGCUGUCACUUAUAGGUGGAUCCGCGCCGCAUUAGCUAGUUGGUAAGGUAACGGCUUACCAAGGCAACGAUGCGUAGCCGACCUGAGAGGGUGAUCGGCCACACUGGAACUGAGACACGGUCCAGACUCCUACGGGAGGCAGCAGUAGGGAAUCUUCCGCAAUGGGCGAAAGCCUGACGGAGCAACGCCGCGUGAGUGAUGAAGGUCUUCGGAUCGUAAAACUCUGUUAUUAGGGAAGAACAAAUGUGUAAGUAACUAUGCACGUCUUGACGGUACCUAAUCAGAAAGCCACGGCUAACUACGUG
rnacentral:rRNA from 1 species